UUUCUACCAGAAAGUAGAAAUUUGCAGAUUGUAGGUUUGGCUGCAAUCUGUUGGGCGAUUUGGAAGCUUAGGAAUAGGGUAUGUUCCGAAUUCAAACUUGUUAGAUGUCUUGUUGAGUUCAUAUAUUAUGUCUACUCCUUCAUGAACUAUUAGGUAGGUCUACAAAAUGAUGUUGAUCGUUCCAUCUUGGAGCAAGGACCUGCUGCUUUGCAAAGGGUAGUGUUAGCGCAACAUGAUGAGGGGCGUGGAGAGCUUUGGUGCAUUGAUUUAACUAUCACUAAUGGGGUUGUAGAUGUUUGGGUGAACCCCGAAGAUGCGAUGGAGGAGGAUUAA
rnacentral:rRNA from 1 species